UGUGGUACUUUUUUAGUCUGAAAAAUCAUCUAAUUCCAUUCCGAACUUAGUAAUGAUUGACUAAUGAAGAUUUUAGUACUUUAAGGGUGACUUUAUGGGAAUAUAUCUUUUGUGCCAUGA
rnacentral:rRNA from 1 species